rnacentral:rRNA from 1 species
GAUUAUGGCUCAGGAUAAACGCUGGCGGCGUGCCUAAUACAUGCAAGUCGAACGAGGAGUCUUGUAGCAAUACGGGAACUUCCUAGUGGCGAAUGGGUGAGUAACGCGUUGGUGACCUGCCCCAAAGAGAGGAACAACUCCGGGAAACUGGAGCUAAUACCUCAUGUGGCUACCAGGGUUAGAGGCCUGGUAUCUGAAGGAGCAAUCCGCUUUGGGAGGGACCUGCGUCCCAUCAGCUAGUUGGUAGGGUAACGGCCUACCAAGGCGACGACGGGUAGGGGGCCUGAGAGGGUGGCCCCCCACACUGGAACUGAAACACGGUCCAGACACCUACGGGUGGCAGCAGUAGGGAAUAUUGCACAAUGGGCGAAAGCCCUGAUGCAGCAACGCCGCGUGAACGAUGAAGACCUUCGGGUUGUAAAGUUCUUUUCUGAAGGACGAGGAAGGACGGUACUUCAGGAAUAAGGAUCGGCUAACUACGUGCCAGCCGCCGC